rnacentral:tRNA from 1 species
GCCGGCGUAGCUCAGUUGGUAGAGCAGCGGUUUCGUAAACCGCAGGUCGCCUGUUCGAUCCAGGUCGCCGGCUCCA